rnacentral:lncRNA from 1 species
CUGGAGUUGCUUUUCAGAGGAGUAAUGUGAUAGUGGAAGUAAGUGCUUGCUAAAUGCUGAGCGCUGUACUUUGGGCUUUCCUUGCCUUAUCUAAUUCUCCUCUUACCCUCUAGUAAGCAUAGCUGUUCUCAUUUUAUUAAUGAGGAAGCUGAGGCUUGGAGUAACUUGGCCACUUAUCUGAAAUAACUCAGCUGCUAGGGGUCAGAACUGAUGUGUGACUGCAGUUCCCUGUGACAGACAGCCCAGUUCCUGGUCUCUGAGGCUUGGGAACUCCCCUGGCUUUCCCUCCAAGGCCCAUGUCACCAGCUGCUAUGGUUUGCUUGGUCUUUGGAGUCACCUGGAGUAUACGUUAGCAAUCGGAUUUCCGGGACCCACUCCAGUCCUGCUGUGUCAGUCUCUCCAGGAGCGGAGACUGGGAAAACGUACAGUUGUCCCUGGAGUACGCUGAGUCACCAACGAGGUUGCUCACAGAUGCAGAAGAUGAGUCCCCCUGUUCAGUGUCACUGAGAUGUCUUCAAGGCCGCAGACCCAACAGGUCUCACCGUAGGAGUCCUCAGAUUCCCACGUGCCAUACUGAAUCUGUCACUAAAAUUCAGGUGCUAGCCUCAUGCUUCUUCCUCAGAUCAAGCUUUUGAGACUUGGAGAGUUCCUGUCACACUUGGAAGACUUCAGCGGCACCUCCAAGUGACAGCAGGUGCACAGGUUGGGUAUGUGACUUCAGGAGCAGGGCAAGUCCCUUUUCAGAGCCCCCAGGGUGGGAGCGAGAAGGGGACCCAGGCUGCUGCUGCGUCCUGGCAGGGGAGGACUUCCCAGC